UACGGAGGGUGCGAGCGUUGUCCGGAAUCACUGGGCGUAAAGGGCGCGUAGGCGGCCUGGCAAGUCGAUGGUGAAAGCCCGUGGCUCAACUACGGGUCGGCCAUUGAUACUGCUAGGCUCGGGUCGACUAGAGGCAGAUGGAAUUCCGGGUGUAGCGGUGGAAUGCGUAGAGAUCCGGAAGAACACCGGUGGCGAAGGCGGUCUGCUGGGGUCGAACUGACGCUGAGGCGCGACAGCGUGGGGAGCAAACAGG
rnacentral:rRNA from 1 species